rnacentral:rRNA from 1 species
GAUGAACUCUGGCGGCAGGCCUAACACAUGCAAGUCGAGCGAAGCCUUCGGGCUUAGCGGCGGACGGGUGAGUAACGCGUGGGAACGUGCCCUUUGGUACGGAAUAGCCCCGGGAAACUGGGAGUAAUACCGUAUGUGCCCUUCGGGGGAAAGAUUUAUCGCCAAAGGAUCGGCCCGCGUUGGAUUAGGUAGUUGGUGGGGUAAUGGCCUACCAAGCCGACGAUCCAUAGCUGGUUUGAGAGGAUGAUCAGCCACACUGGGACUGAGACACGGCCCAGACUCCUACGGGAGGCAGCAGUGGGGAAUCUUAGACAAUGGGGGAAACCCUGAUCUAGCCAUGCCGCGUGAUCGAUGAAGGCCUUAGGGUUGUAAAGAUCUUUCAGUGGGGAAGAUAAUGACUGUACCCACAGAAGAAGCCCCGGCUAACUCCGUGCCAGCCGCCGCAGUAACAC